GAUGAACGCUCGCGGGAGGCCUAACACAUGCAAGCCGAGCGGUAGAGUUUCUUCGGAAACUUGAGAGCGGCGCACGGGUGCGUAACACGUGUGCAACCUACCUUUAUCUGGGGGAUAGCCUUUCGAAAGGAAGAUUAAUACCCCAUAAUAUAAUGAUUGGCAUCAAUUAUUAUUGAAAACUCCGGUGGAUAGAGAUGGGCACGCGCAAGAUUAGAUAGUUGGUGAGGUAACGGCUCACCAAGUCAAUGAUCUUUAGGGGUCCCGAGAGGGAGAUCCCCCACACUGGUACUGAGACACGGACCAGACUCCUACGGGAGGCAGCAGUGAGGAAUAUUGGACAAUGGGUGAGAGCCUGAUCCAGCCAUCCCGCGUGAAGGAUGACGGUCCUAUGGAUUGUAAACUUCUUUUGUACAGGGAUAAACCUACCCUCGUGAGGGUAGCUGAAGGUACUGUACGAAUAAGCACCGGCUAACUCCGUG
rnacentral:rRNA from 1 species